UUGGAGGGCAAGUCUGGUGCCAGCAGCCGCGGUAAUUCCAGCUCCAAUAGCGUAUAUUAAAGUUGUUGCAGUUAAAAAGCUCGUAGUUGAACUUCGGGGUUCACCCAUUGGUCAGGCUUAACUGUCUGUACCGGUGAGAUGAAUCUCUACCUUCUGAGGAACUUUCAUGCCAUUUAGUUGGUGUGAUGGGAAAUCAGGACUGUUACUUUGAAAAAUUAGAGUGUUUAAAGCAGGCUAUCGUCUGAAUACAUUAGCAUGGAAUAAUGAAAUAGGACGGACUGGUUCUAUUUUGUGGUUUCUAGGAUCACCGUAAUGAUUAAUAGGGAUAGUUGGGGGCAUUAGUAUUCAAUUGUCAGAGGUGAAAUUCUUGGAUUUAUUGAAGACUAACUACUGCGAAAGCAUUUGCCAAGGAUGUUUUCAUUAAUCAAGAACGAAAGUUAGGGGAUCGAAAGACGAUCAGAUACCGUCGUAGUCUUAACCAUAAACUAUGCCGACUAGGGAUCGGACGAAGUUAAUUUA
rnacentral:rRNA from 1 species